AUUGAACGCUAGCGGGAUGCUUUACACAUGCAAGUCGAGAGAGCGGCGGACGGGAGAGUAAUGUAUGGGGACUGCCCGAUAGAGGGGGAUAACUACUGGAAACGGUAGCUAAUACCGCAUAUUAUCGGAUAACCCAUAUGGGAUUAGCUAGUAGGUGAGGUAAUGGCUCACUUAGGCGACGAUCCCUAGCUGGUCUGAGAGGAGGAUCAGCCACACUGUUGCUGAGACACGGCCCAGACUCCUACGGAGGCAGCAGUGGGGAAUAUUGCACAAUGGGCGCAAGCCUGAUGCAGCCAUGCCGCGUGUAUGAAGAAGGCCCUAGGGUUGUAAAGUACUUUCAGUCGGGAGGCGUUACCGACAGAAGAAGCACCGGCUAACUCCGUGCCAGCAGCCGCGGUAAUUC
rnacentral:rRNA from 1 species